GUAGGUAUGGUUUAAGUAAAACAUUAGAUUGUGAUUCUAAAAAUAGUGGUUAAAAUCCCCUUACCCACC
rnacentral:tRNA from 1 species